UACGUAGGGUGCAAGCGUUUAAUCGGAAUUACUGGGCGUAAAGCGUGCGCAGGCGGUUAUGUAAGACAGUUGUGAAAUCCCCGGGCUCAACCUGGGAACUGCAUCUGUGACUGCAUAGCUAGAGUACGGUAGAGGGGGAUGGAAUUCCGCGUGUAGCAGUGAAAUGCGUAGAUAUGCGGAGGAACACCGAUGGCGAAGGCAAUCCCCUGGGCCUGCACUGACGCUCAUGCACGAAAGCGUGGGGAGCAAACAGG
rnacentral:rRNA from 1 species